AAGACUCUACUUUCAGGGAUCAUUUCUAUAGUUCGUUACUAGAGAAGUUUCUCUGAACGUGUACAGCACCCUU
rnacentral:snoRNA from 1 species